AUACUAGUUCAUUUAUGGUCUCUGUCAUCUACUAAGCAUUUCAGGAAUCACGGAACUCUGGUUUUCGCUGUCUGGCGCUUCUGGGUUUGGUGACAUGAUGUCACACGGCUGCUCAACCAGUCCUUGGCUGAGUGAAACUACGGGCAGCAUGAAACAGAAGCAUAGAAGACUAUGAUUUAGUCUGAAAGGUUCGGACAUGAAGCAGAUGACAGGUUGCUGAAUAUCACCGUGAUUGGUGAAGUCCGGCAUUAGCCACAGCUCUUGAGCCCGUGUCUUAAAAGGGGAGCAGAACAAUGGUGUACAGGUACGCCCUUCAUCCUUAAAGGGAAUGUCACCUUUUUUAUAUAUUACUUAAAUUGUAAUAUAACAUAAGUUAAGAUCAUUUGGGAAUUACAUAUAUGUGUAAAGUAUUUUAAAUUUUAUUCAUGUAUUUAGUGUGUACUGGGGGCUGCCAUUACUUAGAGCACCUGUGAUUAUGUCACUUAACGACACCUUCACAGAUGCUUUACGGCAGUCCCUGCACAUAGGAAAGUCCAGUCGCAGCGCGUCUGAUAGGACAACAUUACAGACUAAAAUGCUGUGUUCUGCACAUGUCUGUCAUGUGCAGAACGCAGCAGGUGUCCGACACAAGAGGAAGCCGAGGGAGCAGAGCCAUGUUAUUAAAGUCCGGAAACAGCAGCUUCUGGAACUCCUGGCACUCUCCCUCGCUUGCUCCUGUGGUCACUGGGCUGUCACUUCCCUGCGGCUUCGAGCUAUCAUCCACGGGUUUGGACAGCCAGUGACCACCUUCCCACCAUGUCUUUGUUCCCUCCUUGUCCUCCUUCACACCUCCCGGAGCUUACACUUUCGCUAUCCAGAUCUCCCCUGCGUCUCCCAUUGUAUUUACAGCUUCUGCAGCACAGGCAAUAAGUGAUUCAGCCGGACGCCCGUGUUUGUAACUGCAAAAACUACAACUUCCAGCAUGCCUAGACAGCAAAAGGAUGUCUGGGCAUGCUGGGAGUUGUAGUUUUGCGACAUCCUGGUUUGAA